CCCUCCUACGUGAAGCAUGAUGGAAGAAAUGGCCAUCCUAUCUCUGACAACUUAGACUCUGAGUAUCACACCGGGAAGGGAUCCGGUCGACUAGCCGGAGGCUGAAGCUGCCACUUGGGGGAGUUUGAGACUAAGAGAUGUAGAGGGUUCAGUGAAACCCGUGGUGUGGCCGAUGUGCUUCUGCUCUGAAGCAGAUCCUUGGAAGGAAGCUGCUCUCUUUGAUUUGCUGACUUGGUAUUUUCUUCUGGGAUUGCUGCUACUGGCAGACCGAGAGGGAAGGUUUGCUGUCACCAAACGAAGCUAGCUUUUGUCCUUUGGCUGCAGAUAUCUCCUCUUGGCUUCCCAGAGAGCCAGCCCCACCACUCUGGUCCUCCCUAUUUGACCCAUGAGGAGCACAUGAACUUUCAACAUGCCAUGAAACACCCCUUCCCUCCCAGUUUCUAAUUCUGUUGAACACCACAGGACAUCCUCUCCCCUGUGUCUGCUUCAGCUAAACAUCCCUUCACGUGUUUGGACCAGCAAAACACCAUACAACUGACUUUCCAAAGAGCGCUUAAGUUCCCACUUCACUACAGUCCUUGUGGAAACGUCCCAGCUCCCAUAAAGAAAUCCAUCCCUCAAGCCUCUGCAUUCCAGAAACUGCUCCCUGCCUUUCCUCCUUGUGUAAUGAUUCUUUGAAGACGCGAUCCACAUGACCAUAUCCGGAGGCCAGCCUACCCCACCAAAAUGAAGUUAUAUAUAUUUUUUUUAGUUCCUAUUUGAAUGGUUCUGAGAAAUAACUGUGUUGGUCUGGUGGUCCUCACAAGUUCACCUUUGGAUCACUCAAUCAUGUCUGCAAGGAGGACUUAGCAUACCCGGCCAAAUCAAGUGAGAUCUCAAGACUGGAGGGGGAGGGACAGUCAGGAUCAAUGAUCCAGGUAUAGUCAAGGGGGGCAUUUCUGUCAUUUAGAGCCAUUGAAAACACUUUCAAGGCAUCGUUAGAAGUGGCAGCCAAUGUAAUUGUGAGAAGUAAAGUGAGCUGCUAAAAAUGCCUUCAGGUUAAGUCUUUGUAUUAAAGUCGGAGUCAUAUUUAUCCAAGGAAUGCAGAGCCUGGAGGCCAAAUCUACUGACCAGGAUACUUGGCCACAGUGUACUCAGAGGAGCUAAAAGCUCACAGGGACUUGGCUACUUCUUCACAAUCAGGGUAGGCUCAGAAUAUUCAAGUGUGAAGAAGCAUACAAAAGACUGUCCAGCCCCUUGCCCAUCUCUCUGAGAACAUUAGCUGCUGGGUGAUAAAGCUAUAUUAUCUUCUCCCUCACCUUUCCCAAGAAUCUCCUGGCAAAGUUCAAACCUGAUGCUUUGUGUUAACUCAUUUCCAUGACAACAAAUUGGCCCUCUUUCUUGUCGCCUGGCCUUCAUCACAUGACAGGAAAGGGGCAACGAGCCUCGAUGUAUUUCUACAUGAAGAGCAGGAAUGUGUGCUAACAGGAAAAGUGUGUCUCAUUAACUUUUAUCAAGAGCCAGGGAGAACAAAACAAGAACCGGCAGGCUAGGUUGACAUUUUCCUCCUAGAUACCCAAUUACAACUAAUUCUUCCCCAAAGCAUGGAAGCAAGCAUAAUGUAUUCUAAAACAUAAUUAAUCAUAGGCAAAACUUCUUAGGGAUUAAAAUGAUUCUUAUGGAA
rnacentral:sRNA from 1 species